rnacentral:rRNA from 1 species
ACAGGAUUAGAUACCCUGGUAGUCCACGCUGUAAACGAUGUCGACUUGGAGGUUGUGCCCUUGAGGCGUGGCUUCCGGAGCUAACGCGUUAAGUCGACCGCCUGGGGAGUACGGCCGCAAGGUUAAAACUCAAAUGAAUUGACGGGGGCCCGCACAAGCGGUGGAGCAUGUGGUUUAAUUCGAUGCAACGCGAAGAACCUUACCUACUCUUGACAUCCACGGAAUUCGCCAGAGAUGGCUUAGUGCCUUCGGGAACCGUGAGACAGGUGCUGCAUGGCUGUCGUCAGCUCGUGUUGUGAAAUGUUGGGUUAAGUCCCGCAACGAGCGCAACCCUUAUCCUUUGUUGCCAGCACGUAAUGGUGGGAACUCAAAGGAGACUGCCGGUGAUAAACCGGAGGAAGGUGGGGAUGACGUCAAGUCAUCAUGGCCCUUACGAGUAGGGCUACACACGUGCUACAAUGGCAUAUACAAAGAGAAGCGAACUCGCGAGAGCAAGCGGACCUCAUAAAGUAUGUCGUAGUCCGGAUUGGAGUCUGCAACUCGACUCCAUGAAGUCGGAAUCGCUAGUAAUCGUAGAUCAGAAUGCUACGGUGAAUACGUUCCCGGGCCUUGUACACACCGCCCGUCACACCAUGGGAGUGGGUUGCAAAAGAAGUAGGUAGCUUAACCUUCGGGAGGGCGCUUACCACUUUGUGAUUCAUGACUGGGGUGAAGUCGUAACAAGGUAACC